GACGAACGCUGGCGGCGUGCCUAAUACAUGCAAGUUGAGCGAUGAAGAUUGGUGCUUGCACCAAUUUGAAGAGCAGCGAACGGGUGAGUAACGCGUGGGGAAUCUGCCUUUGAGCGGGGGACAACAUUUGGAAACGAAUGCUAAUACCGCAUAACAACUUUAAACAUAAGUUUUAAGUUUGAAAGAUGCAAUUGCAUCACUCAAAGAUGAUCCCGCGUUGUAUUAGCUAGUUGGUGAGGUAAAGGCUCACCAAGGCGAUGAUACAUAGCCGACCUGAGAGGGUGAUCGGCCACAUUGGGACUGAGACACGGCCCAAACUCCUACGGGAGGCAGCAGUAGGGAAUCUUCGGCAAUGGACGAAAGUCUGAACGAGCAACGCCGCGUGAGUGAAGAAGGUUUUCGGAUCGUAAAACUCGGUUGGUAGAGAAGAACGUUGGUGAGAGUGGAAAGCUCAUCAAGUGACGGUAACUACACAGAAAGGGACGGCUAACUACGUG
rnacentral:rRNA from 1 species